UAUCGUGCUAAAUUUUACAAUCGACCGUUUUGUGUUCUGCGUGCAGCUAUACGGAGGACCCGUUGCAUUUUUAGAGGGCUGAAUGUUUAUUGACCGUCCCCGCUUUAACAAUUUAAGUUCGCAAGCCGUCGAGCUCCCGUUUUCCACACUAGCCUGUGCUCGCUUGCUAGAGCGUCUAGAGACAAGUUAUUGCACUGAAAUGAUUAUGCGAAAGUCUCUGGUGACGGCGCCCGACUGAGUCUAACGUUGGAUGGAUUUCGCGAUCUGCAUCGAUACAGCCGCGCUCACUCCACCGGCGAUAUGUGGGAUGAUUGGAAGAAUUCAUAAAAAGGCAGGCCCCCCAAACCACACCCGCUCUGCUCAGACAGGGACUACUAUACGAAACUGCUCGUCAGUUACAGACGUGUGCAAAAUGGCUCUAUAUUAUGAAAACUAAGGAGACUGUUAAUCGGUUGAUGUAUAGCCCAUGUCGUUAAGCGAUCGUUUCGGUGAAAAUAUAGGCUACAUUUGGCAUUUGUAACUUUUCCCCCACAUUUCCAAAUUAGGAUAACGAUAUGGACAAUACGAACAGUUCGCCAGAUACAAAAGGGAACUGAGCUACAGGGAAGUGAUAAAUAACCUACACGUAUUUUAAUUAAUGUUGGUCUGUACGAGUGGACAAGAUAGUUACUUCGCUUAUAUGUCCGCUUUGAUUACGGUUCAACUUAAGGUUUAGGUUCAUUCCUGCAUUCUCAGUUCGGGUUUCUUUCGUGAAAAUGCCAGACGUGGUGUCAUGUCUGAGCGCAAGGAAGCAGCGACUUUCACCGAUAGGCUACGGGAGGGCCGGAGACUUUAGCAAUGAAGAGGCGCGGCUUUUUCGAGAUAACGCUUUGCGACGUGCCUCCAGACCAUGUGUAGCUGAUAGCGCUGCAUAAUUGUAAACCAUUUUAAAAGUAGGCUACUGUCCUCUUCGUUUGCCGUUCUGUAAGGUCUAAGGUCUAAACACACCCACUUUAUGUUAAGGGAAACAAUAGGCCACAAUGUAACUGUCUAUGUGCAGUAGCCUAUAACAGCACUGAAACGUUCUCUCUCCACUCCCAGAGUCACGUUCAAGUUCAAGUCUACACAAUGGAUUGUGUGUUAUCAGUCUGGAGGUGACGUGAAAUUAUUCGUUCAGGUAGCCUAAUUAUAUUGGCCUACAACCAAAGCCGACACAGACUACGGUUUUUCAACACUUCUUUACUGCAGUAAAGCAGAUCUGAACAAAGAAAGAUUAGUCAGAAACUCUGCUAUAAGCGCGACUGAACCCAUGUGCGACAGUGAAAAGGCAAAAAUGAUAUAGUCUUUACCCUUUCAAAAUCUAUCGGAAAUGAUGGGCAACAUACUACAACUUGUUUAAAACGUAGACAUUCCAAAAUUAGUGCUCGACUUAUUCCAUAACCGUCAAAAACUGACAAUGGCUCUGUCAAAUGAAGAUUUGGCGAUAAUCCUGUCGCACAGCGCAACUUCAGAUGGGACAGCAGGACACGGAAAUUUAACUCUAAACGGACAGCAAGAGAACGUUAUUUAGUGGCGGAACUAGUGUCCAAAACAUGACUUUCGAAACGAAUACAGGAAUUACAGAUCUGGGAAGCUGCACACAUAUUUUAUACAUAGUUUUAUCCAGAAACUCACCACAAGGUUGCAUUAGUCAAGAGCAGACUGACAGAUUCUGUAUUAAGGUGUCUCGUACCUUUUAAAAACUACCAGUGUUGGUUCUGUGGCAAUAACUUUGCAUUAUUUUUUCCUCCAAAUUACACCAUUCCAAUAAACUGCUUUCAUUUGUCCCUUUG